rnacentral:rRNA from 1 species
UAACACAUGCAAGUCGAGCGGUAGAGAGGUGCUUGCAUCUCUUGAGAGCGGCGGACGGGUGAGUAAUGCCUAGGAAUCUGCCUAGUGGUGGGGGAUAACGUUCGGAAACGGACGCUAAUACCGCAUACGUCCUACGGGAGAAAGCGGGGGGAUCUUCGGACCUCGCGCCAUUAGAUGAGCCUAGGUCGGAUUAGCUAGUUGGUGAGGUAAUGGCUCACCAAGGCGACGAUCCGUAACUGGUCUGAGAGGAUGAUCAGUCACACUGGAACUGAGACACGGUCCAGACUCCUACGGGAGGCAGCAGUGGGGAAUAUUGGACAAUGGGCGAAAGCCUGAUCCAGCCAUGCCGCGUGUGUGAAGAAGGUCUUCGGAUUGUAAAGCACUUUAAGUUGGGAGGAAGGGUAGUAACCUAAUACGUUGCUACUUUGACGUUACCGACAGAAUAAGCACCGGCUAACUUCGUG